rnacentral:rRNA from 1 species
GACGAACGCUGGCGGCGUGCUUAACACAUGCAAGUCGAACGAUGAAGGAGGAGCUUGCUCCUCCGGAUUAGUGGCGAACGGGUGAGUAAUACGUGAGCAAUGUGCCCUUGACUCUGGGAUAAGCGCUGGAAACGGCGUCUAAUACCGGAUACGACCCUCGGAAGCAUCUCCUGAUGGUGGAAAGAACUUCGGUCAAGGAUCAGCUCAGGGACUAUCAGCUAGUUGGUGAGGUAACGGCUCACCAAGGCGACGACGGGUAGCCGGCCUGAGAGGGUGACCGGCCACAGCGGGAGUGAGACACGGCCCAGACUCCGACGGGAGGCAGCAGUGGGGAAUAUUGCACAACGGGCGCAAGCCUGAUGCAGCAACGCCGCGUGAGGGACGAAGGCCUUCGGGUUGUAAACCUCUUUUAGCAGGGAAGAAGCGAAAGUGACGGUACCUGCAGAAAAAGCACCGGCUAACUACGUGCCAGCCGCCGCCGUAACAC